rnacentral:rRNA from 1 species
GAUGAACGCUGUCGGCGUGCCUAAUACAUGCAAGUCGAGCGAACGGACGAGAAGCUUGCUUCUCUGAUGUUAGCGGCGGACGGGUGAGUAACACGUGGAUAACCUACCUAUAAGACUGGGAUAACUUCGGGAAACCGGAGCUAAUACCGGAUGAUAUUUUGAACCGCAUGGUUCAAAAGUGAAAGACGGUCUUGCUGUCACUUAUAGAUGGAUCCGCGCUGCAUUAGCUAGUUGGUAAGGUAACGGCUUACCAAGGCAACGAUGCAUAGCCGACCUGAGAGGGUGAUCGGCCACCCUGGAACUGAGACACGGUCCAGACUCCUACGGGAGGCAGCAGUAGGGAAUCUUCCGCAAUGGGCGAAAGCCUGACGGAGCAACGCCGCGUGAGUGAUGAAGGUCUUCGGAUCGUAAAACUCUGUUAUUAGGGAAGAACAUAUGUGUAAGUAACUGUGCACAUCUUGACGGUACCUAAUCAGAAAGCCACGGCUAACUACGUG